AUUGAACGCUGGCGGCAUGCUUUACACAUGCAAGUCGAACGGUAACAGGCCUUCGGGCGCUGACGAGUGGCGAACGGGUGAGUAAUGCAUCGGAACGUGCCCAGUCGUGGGGGAUAACGCAGCGAAAGCUGCGCUAAUACCGCAUACGAUCUAUGGAUGAAAGCGGGGGACCGUAAGGCCUCGCGCGAUUGGAGCGGCCGAUGUCAGAUUAGGUCGUUGGUGGGGUAAAGGCUCACCAAGCCAACGAUCUGUAGCUGGUCUGAGAGGACGACCAGCCGCACUGGGAAUGAGACACGGCCCAGACUCCUACGGGAGGCAGCAGUGGGGAAUUUUGGACAAUGGGCGCAAGCCUGGUCCAGCAAUGCCGCGUGCAGGAAGAAGGCCUUCGGGUUGUAAACUGCUUUUGUACGGAACGAAACGGUUCUCUCUAAUACAGGGGGCUAAUGACGGUACCGUAAGAAUAAGCACCGGCUAACUACGUGCCAGCCGCCGCAGUAACAC
rnacentral:rRNA from 1 species